GGUAUGUCUCUUUGAGGUCAAACAGGAUGCGCAGGCUCUGAACCUUCUUCAAGUGCUCCUGAAGUUUAAGCAAACUUAAAACAGAUGCUAUAACGACAAGAUGGUGGAGUUUAAUUGGGAAUUGUGAUGGUUAAAGAUGGGAAGAAGACAGAAUAAAGCCCAGAGGAAGAGGAAGUGACACAAUGAUUGCCCAGGUUUAUGGGAAGGAAGAUGCAAGAGGUGGGAAUUUGCAAUAAGAAUGUCCUUUUACUGAGAAAGAGCCCAGCCAUUGUUACUUGUUGCUGAGAAAAGGAUAAUGCUGCUAUCAGCUUCAUUAUCUACUUCACCUCUGGUUCAUUCACCAGCUGCAUCCUUAAGUCAAUAUUUCUCCAGCAAAUUACGUAUUUCCAGUUGUAGAAACCUUGAGGAGAUGACCUUUCAACCUGGUCUGCAGAGACCCCCCGCAGGUCUGCUGCAGACAACGUUGUAUGCUGUGUGCUCAGUCUGUUCUCCAGCCCUGAGGGAUGACAUCAAGAAACCCAGUGGUGCUAUCGAUGUGGCACUUGGUCCUAGCAGAAUUCAGAGGAAUUUCUCCUAGAAGCCUUCCUGGGCACGUGUGUGCUCUGUGGAGAGGGGGCAGAGCCUUGCAAACAGCAGUAUCUUCUUCCCAUCUUGGUUGCAGUCUACCAGAAGCCCAAACCAAGAAAACAACCCCAAGGGAAUAAUUUUCACUCGGACUCUCAGGAACCUUAUCCCCUGCGUAGGUGAAAGAUGAUGCAAUGCUGACAUGGAUUCUGCUGCCUCCUGUUUCUGUGGAGCACCUUCAACUCUGACUGAGGGGUUAUUGCAGCAGACAGUGGUCACUUCGUUUAACCAGUUAUGGGAGUGGUUACUUUUUAGCCGAUAGUAUGGAAAUCUUAUACUUCAGCAGCUCUCACUGAGACGUAUUAAAACUACUUUGAAUCCUUGGCUGAUUUGCUGGUAUUUAAAACAUCUUAACUAGUACAUUUAACAGAAAACAUUUUAGAUGAAUUGUCCAGUACUUUCUUUUUUUUAA